GAGAUGUGAAUCGCACCAGAACCAUGUGUGAUGUAACAGAACCAUACAUUCCACAGAUUCCCUUUCCAAAAAGUGAGUUCUAGUUGGCCCUGACCUGCUAAUACCUGAUUUGAAAACCAAGAGAAGAAAUGAACUCAUGAUGGAAGAGAAAAGAGGCCCUAGGCAGGCCUACACUGUCUUGCUGGGAAAGAGAAACCCACAUCAGCCACCUCGGCAUGUGAGCUGCUGAGACAGCUCUUCAGACCGCAUCCAGAUCACAGGUGUCCUGCCCGUGGAGCACCUGAUUGGGGUGUUUGGAGUCUAACACCUGCCCUGCAUGGCCUAUGUCACCCUCCAAAAGGAUUUCUUUUGCUCGCUAAUUGCCAGCAGUGAAAAUCUACGGAGGCAAAUUGAUGAGGAAGAAAAGGUUUUGAAACCAAAGUGGCUAAAAGGAUUCCAGCCAUUGUGAG